GACGAACGCUGGCGGCGUGCUUAACACAUGCAAGUCGAACGGAAAGGCCCUGCUUUUGUGGGGUGCUCGAGUGGCGAACGGGUGAGUAACACGUGAGUAACCUGCCCUUGACUUUGGGAUAACUUCAGGAAACUGGGGCUAAUACCGGAUAGGAGCUCCUGCUGCAUGGUGGGGGUUGGAAAGUUUCGGCGGUUGGGGAUGGACUCGCGGCUUAUCAGCUUGUUGGUGGGGUAGUGGCUUACCAAGGCUUUGACGGGUAGCCGGCCUGAGAGGGUGACCGGCCACAUUGGGACUGAGAUACAGCCCAGACUCCUACGGGAGGCAGCAGUGGGGAAUAUUGCACAAUGGGCGGAAGCCUGAUGCAGCAACGCCGCGUGCGGGAUGACGGCCUUCGGGUUGUAAACCGCUUUCGCCUGUGACGAAGCGUGAGUAACGGUAAUGGGUAGAGAAGCACCGGCUAACUACGUG
rnacentral:rRNA from 1 species